CACCUAAAAAAAUGCAGCUAUAAAGUGGUUAUUGUGACGGUCUUUAACCGCAAUUAAAACUCAAGUUUUUAGUCACAUUUAUUUUCUAAACUGUUGCUAUACGUAAUUUUUAGCUAUGUUUACAACUCAACCGCUACAAUAGGUCAAACAAAUAAGGCGCCAAAAAAGUUCUAAUUUAGCGCUCAAAAUUUCAGUCCAAAAAAAAGGAUUCAACUCUAAGUCGAUCUAUCUAUACUUCUUGUGCCCUAGUCUAUCUAUACUUUUACAAAGUAGCACCAAGAAGUCACAGAGGCUUCCUGAUUUCACAAGCUACAGCCCACCGGUGUAUCGACUACUGUAUCAACGGUUCAUCCUCCAUCGGUGUAUCAACCGAUGCAUUAACGGUUCCUGAUUUCAGCCGACAGUGGUUCACAAAAUGUCGCAAAAGUGAUCAAUUGCAAACUCAAGGUAUUCAGUUGUAAGCUCAAGAUGCUGUAAUAAACUCUUUAAAAGAGCAAGUAGCAUUUUUGAUGAGACAGAGACAGUCUUCUAGUGGUUUGCAGGUGACAGAUGGAUCUAGUGGCAUUCCAGACCAGGCUUCUCCACAAACACAUCAGAGAUCCUCUUUUGGGAGUCAUGAAAUGCAACCUUUUAAUCGGGGACCCUCAGACGGGACAAACUCUUAGGAUCAGUCGUAAGCAUGGACGUCUCUAUGAGCUCAUCCAUCUUCAUGUUCCAGACUUCAUCUUGUUAGUUGCUCCUGCAUCUGCUUCCAGUAUAUCUCCUUUUAAUCUUUGGCAUUGUCGUUUAGGACAUAUUUCUGUUAGUCGGUUGAAAUCUUUAGUUUUUACUGAUUAGUUAGGUCAUGUAAUUCCUGAUACUUUGGAUUGUUUGUCUUGUCAACUUGCAAAACAACCUUUUUUUCAUUUAAUACAAGUACUUCUG